GAGGGAAAGUCUCCCAGGGUGCAGACGCGGGGAAGGAAACAGGCAGCGCGAGCCCCAGCUUCCAUCUCCCCCGGUCGCACGCCCCUCCCCGCCAGCAAAGGGCAACCUUGCGAAGGCAAGUGACACCGCCCGCCCGCGCCCCGUUGCCUCCGAAUCCGAAAAGCCAGAGGACCCCCGCCGGAAAAAGACCUGCUCCGGGACCACGGCGCCCGAGGCGUCAGAAGACGAUCCCAGCUGUGGAUGGGUCCCGGGCAGGGCACGGCCGGCCGCCUCUGGCCGCCGGCACCCAUUCCUCCCGCGCCUCAAUUUUCCGUCGGCCCCAAGUUUUUGAUCAGGAGAAGACGGCCAUCGGCGACCCGGGGAAAACGGUGGAGGAAGAUCACUCGGGCGGCCGAGGAGCGCUCAGCCGUCCUGUCAAGGAGCGCGGCAGGGCGGGGGUCGGGCUGACAGAUGCGAGGACCACCGCCCCGUCGCCCGCCCCCGGCCCGCUCAAACUACGGCUCCCCUCCCCCACGCGCCGUGCCCGCGCUCCCGCCACAUUCCGCCCGCCGCCGCCGGCCCGCACACACCCCGGCCCAGUUUCCUGGCAUUUUUUGCGACUGAAGUGAGGGCGGACCCAGUGCCCGCUCCCUGCACCCCCCACCGCCUGCCGGUCCCACCACUGCCGCCUCCCGAGCCCCGCUCUGCCACUUCUUCAGGCUCUUACCGUCUGCGCCAGCCCUAGCGAAGCUCCACCGGCUGUCCAGUGGUGGGAGUAAUUUUUGGCGAUUUUUUAGUGAUUUUUCGGCGAAGUCCUAGCGGCGCUAGAGUCUCGGACAGGUUAUCCCGGCUCUCCCGCUAGAUUGAUGAGAUCAGGCAUCACUCGAAAAUGGCGCCGAAAGCGCUGAGGCUCCUCAUUCAAAUUCGUUAGAGCCAACCCCGCCGCCCCGGGGCAUGCCGGGAACGCGGGCUGCCUCCACAGCUGUCAAUACCGCCUCAAACCCCUUUCUCCGGCUUUUCCGACCCUUUUGCUCAUGCGCACACUCCUAUCCCACCCCAACCUCUUCGUCUUGCACAUGCGCACAGUCUCUUCCUUCGCCGCGCUCCCUCCGCUCCUCUAGUCACCACCCUACUUGCCUCCUUUCCCUGCGCGUGCGUACAACGUAUCUGCUCCGCGGCGGAGGUGGAGCGGGCGCGCGGGUUGUGGACCCGGGGGUCUGCAGACACUUAUCAAUGCAUAGGCAUUUUUUUCUGCAGUGCGAGGUAAACAAACAAGGUCCAGCUUAGGCGAAAAGAGAAACGUCUUACAGGCAGCAUCUACACUCCAGACAACGGAGCGUGUUCUGAGUCCACGUUAAGUCACCAGGCCCCCGCUGGUGUGUUGCGCUCCUGCGGAACGCCAGCGCUUUACCAGAGCGAUCGCAGUUAAGCCUCGGCAGAAGUUCCCGAGGUCUAUUUCUAACAAGCUUGUUUAAGUGCCUUCUUGUUUCAUCCUGGAUGAAGUCAGAACAUUGGACAGUGUUGCAGGACUGACUGAUGUGGACAGCUGACAGCUACAAAAGAAGGAACUGGGGCAUGAGAGAAGACAGAGCCAGGAAGAAGCGAAAGAGCUUGGUCCUUGUUUGCUUCUCUGCCUGAAGGCACUGCCUGAGUUUUGCACCUUCACCCUGGCAGCUGCUCCAAACUUCAACAGUUUUCCACACUCCUAGAACCAGCACCAACAUAUUUUCUCAGAGGUUCCAGUAGCAAAUGGGCAGCACUUCCGCCUCUGAGGCCAGGGUCCCAGCUCUACGGAGUCUCUCCUAACUCCUAGGAUCUGAUAACUUCAGGGUCUUCCCAUGUUUACCCAAUACUAGGGUUAUCAGCUGCUUUCUGAAGUUCCUCUGUUAUUUCAUUGUUCCUUUUGCUCAUUCAGUUCUCCAACACAUGUUGGAGGUAAUUUAUUGCUGUUGAAAUACCUAGCAGCAGGCAGAGUGACUCCUCUGAAGCAUAAACCAUCUCCUUGCUCAAAAUCCUCCAAAGGCUCCCCAUCAAAUGUAAAACAAAAUUCCAGUCCUCACUGUGGCCCACAGCCCCUUCCUUUGGUGUCAUGGCCUGGCCACUUCUCCAGCCUCGUCUCCCACCACUUGCUCACUGCAGGGCCUUUGGACUUGCCGUUUUCUCUACGUGGAAUGCCAGGCCUCCGCUAGCUCAUUUCCUCACUUUGUUCAGGUCUCUUCUGAAAUGUCAUUUUCUUAGAGAGACCUGCUCUGACCGCUCUAUCUAAAAAUGCACCCACGCAUCCACUCUGGCACCCAGCUCCUCACCUGGAUUUUUAUUAUCACUACAUGACAUUAUAAGUCUGUUUACCAUACCCCCGUCCCCCAACCUCAACUAAAAUGUAAGCUUCGUAAAGGCAGGGGUGUGACUUUAUUUACCGCUGGUGCCUGGCAGAUACAGUAGGCACUCAACGAAUUCUAGUUAACAAUCUAAUUAAUAAAUUGCAGUGAUUGCAGAAAAGUGGAUCAAAGUCAUUGCAGAGAAGAUAGAUCUAUAAGGAAGUGAGAGAAAGCUGGCAAUAUAAGGCUGAUUCAUCUCGGUUAGUAUAUAAUGCAACAGAUGAAUCACUAAAUGCACUUUCAGAUGUAACAGAAGAGAAUUUCCACAAAAUCAUGAAAGAGCUUUUCAGCAGAAUAAAAUAUUCAAAGAAAAAUGGAUAUGUAAUAUUCAAUAUUGAGGCAUAUCCUGGUUCAGCUAUUGACCACAAAGAAUGAAGGAAAAACUUUUCAAGCCUCUAGGCAGAAAAUUAAAUCACUUACAAGAGGGAGGAAAUCGUGGUAACCUCAGGCUUCCUUUUAGCAAUGUUCAAAGCCAGAAAACAAAGGAAAACCUCCGCACAGCUUUAAGGCAAUGACCCAAAACUAUUAUAUCCAGAUAAGUACCCUUAAGGAAUUACCUAAAAAGGCAGACAUGGCAUCCAUGAAUGCCUGCAAGAAAGAAAAUCCUACUUAGUGAAUCAAAAUUAAUAACUAGGAUUGGAGAGGCAAGACAUGUUGUGAGCACUGGAUUUAAAAAUACAGCUCAAGACAAAAUGGCCAGAGGAAUUAGGGUUAUACAAAAGAAAUAAACAUUAAAACCUUGACUUUGUGAAAAUAAUGACAUCACUAACAAGGACCAUUUUUUUCAUAGCAGAGUCUAUUGACAGUUCUAAAUUUGAAACAUACAGGUACAAACGUGUCCAAACACUUUUUUAUAAUUUUUUUAACUUUAAAUAUUUUAGAAAAUAAAAUCUCUGGUGGUAUAAAAACAUUUUUCUAAAAGUUCAGCAAUUCCUUCAGUUCCACUUAAGUUUCUUUUCCAUCUAUCAAAUUUGAAUAAUUUUAAAUUUAAUGAUUUUUUUAAUUUAACAGUAGUGUGUGUUCUUAUCUUAAAAUAAGAUUGUGUAUCUUUUUUGAAUAUAUGCCUAAAAUAUGCUUAUAAUGUUCAUUUAAUGUUGAUGGUUAAAUCUUUGAUCUGGGGAGAUUACAUUUUUUCCUGUUGCUUUCUAUAUUGUUUGAAUUAUUUGUGAUGAGCAUGUAUUGCUUUCAUAAAGCCAA